GACCAUAAAAUGUUGAAACAUCGAUUUCCAUAAGAACUCCGAAGUUAAGCCAUUUUAAGCCUGGUCAUUAGUUAGAUGGGUGACCAGUUGGGAAUACCAGGUGG